UACGUAGGGUGCAAGCGUUGUCCGGAAUUAUUGGGCGUAAAGAGCUCGUAGGCGGUCUGUCACGUCGGCUGUGGAAACCCGGGGCUCAACCCCGGGCCUGCAGUCGAUACGGGCAGACUAGAGUGCGGUAGGGGAGACUGGAAUUCCUGGUGUAGCGGUGAAAUGCGCAGAUAUCAGGAGGAACACCGGUGGCGAAGGCGGGUCUCUGGACAUUUCCUGACGCUGAGGCACGAAAGCCAGGGGAGCAAACGGG
rnacentral:rRNA from 1 species